CUAGACCUGAAAUCAGUCGAGGUUACCCGCUGAAUUUAAGCAUAUUACUAAGCGGAGGAAAAGAAAAUAACUAUGAUUCCCUCAGUAACGGCGAGUGAAGCGGGAAGGGCUCAAAGUGAAAAUCGCGGUUUCUUUUGAAACUGCGAAUUGUAGCCUCUAGAGGCGUUGCCAGUGGAGGAGCAGGUCUAAGUUUCUUGGAACAGAACUUCAGAGAGG
rnacentral:rRNA from 1 species